AAUCUGUCCCUACUUCGGGGGUGCCAAACCCCAAGCACAAGCUGACCGUCAUAUGUGAUGGCGGACCACUUCCUCAGCUACCGAAGUAGGAGAAGAAUUCCAGGGAAACACUCCAUCUUGGAUUAUUACAGUCCAAGGGUGAUGGAGGCACAUUAACUGGA
ncrna:unclassified sequences Hairpin-meta1 ribozyme sequence